CCUACGGGUGGCAGCAGUGGGGAAUAUUGCACAAUGGGGGAAACCCUGAUGCAGCGACGCCGCGUGAGUGAAGAAGUACUUCGUUAUGUAAAGCUCUAUCAGCAGGGAAGAAAAUGACGGUACCUGAGUAAGAAGCGCCGGCUAACUACGUGCCAGCAGCCGCGGUACUACGUAGGGCGCACGCGUUAUCAGGAUUUACUGGGGGGAAAGGGAGCGUAGACGGCAGUGCAAGUCUGGUGUGAAAGACGGGGGCUCAACCCCCGGACUGCUCUGGAAACUGUACGGCUGGAGUGCAGGAGAGGUAAGUGGAAUUCCUAGUGUAGCGGUGAAAUGCGUAGAUAUUAGGAGGAACACCAGUGGCGAAGGCGGCUUACUGGACUGUAACUGACGUUGAGGCUCGAAAGCGUGGGGAGCAAACAGGAUUAGAUACCCUGGUAGUC
rnacentral:rRNA from 1 species